AUUCUAGAAACUUACUUUAGUGAUCAUAAAGCAAUAUGGGCUUAACUUAGGACAUAGAAAUAAUAAUUAUAUACCAUUCAAUUAGGUAUUGCAAAGAUAGCAAGCCAUUGUGCCACUGCAUGCGAAUGUUAUUAAGGCAACCCAUUCCGCCACUGCCAAUGUUAUUAAGGCAAGCAAUUGCGCCACUUCCAGUGUUAUUAACGCAAGCCGCUGUGCCACUGCCAAUGUUAUAAAAUUAAGUCAUUGUGUGGACGAUGGCUACAUUUAGGUAAGUUUUCUUUUUAUCUCUUCCCCCCUCUCCCUUCCAUGUAUUUUUGUGUUUAAUUGGGUUUUUUCUUUUUUAGAUAUCUCUAUACAUUAAUCAUGGUCACUUUAAUGAUAACUUCAGUCAACAAAAGUACACAAAAUAGAUACUUGGUAUGUUGCUACGUCUUAUUACCACAUCUAGUCAUAUCACCAACAAAGCUCCGACUGUAUGGCUUAUCCACGUUACGUUAAUUGCAUUCACUAAUACUGUUGCAUUAAUAUUUACAGAUAUACCAAAGAUGUACUAUACAAGAAUACUGACAACAUUGGUGGAUAAAUUAUAUUGAAUGAUAUCAUCUUAUGUCAAUUAAUAUGCGAAAAUGAAACAAUUCAUUUCAGCUACCAAUUGCUUCAACGAAAUCGCACGUACAAAGAAAACGUCUGCAGUUGUGUUCGUUAUGUAUUCUGAAAAUUCAUUGUGGAAAACAUGAAAAUUAAGAAAGAUGCACAGUACUUCAAGAUACAACUUGGAUAUUUGUUGUAAG